rnacentral:rRNA from 1 species
CUGGCUCAGGAUAAACGCUGGCGGCGUGCUUAACACAUGCAAGUCGAACGGAGUGGUCUCCCGAGGAUUGAUAGUGCUUGCACUUGAUUGACUCAUUUGAAUCACUUAGUGGCGGACGGGUGAGUAACGCGUGGGAAACCUGCCCUAUACUGGGGGAUAGCAGUUGGAAACGACUGAUAAUACCGCAUAAGCGCACAGCUUCGCAUGAAGCAGUGUGAAAAACUCCGGUGGUAUAGGAUGGUCCCGCGUCUGAUUAGCUAGUUGGUGAGGUAACGGCCCACCAAGGCGACGAUCAGUAGCCGGCCUGAGAGGGUGUACGGCCACAUUGGGACUGAGACACGGCCCAAACUCCUACGGGAGGCAGCAGUGGGGAAUAUUGGACAAUGGGGGAAACCCUGAUCCAAGCGACGCCGCGUGAACGAUGAAGUAUUUCGGUAUGUAAAGUUCUAUCAGCAGGGAAGAUAAUGACGGUACCUGACUAAGAAGCACCGGCUAAAUACGUGCCAGCCGCAGC